rnacentral:tRNA from 1 species
GCCUCGGUGGCUGCGAGGCAAGGUGAUGGCCUGUGAAUCCCCAGGUAUCAGGUUCAAAUCCCGGCCGAGGUA